GGUACUUAGAAACAUAACAAAAAAUUCAAUUUGCACACAAUUGAACUCCCUUCAAUCUUCAUACCAAUUUUCCACUUUCUAGGCAUAGAGACAUCAAUAGUUGCUUGCUGGAACCUCAUACUCUUUAUGAAGCUUUAACUAAUUAUUCCUCUAUGUAAGGCCAUUAAUAAUCACAAAUAACCUGUUUUUUUAGGAUAGACUUGAGAAACACUUGCUCCCCCAAAUUUGCCUCUAUUGUGGGUAAUUGUGAUGAAGUGACUCAAUUCCAACUUCAUAGGCAUAUCUCAAUUUCCUAU
rnacentral:misc_RNA from 1 species